UGAGGAAUAUUGGUCAAUGGGGGAAACCCUGAUGCAGCGACGCCGCGUGAGCGAUGAAGGUUUUCGAAUCGUAAAGCUCUGUCCUAUGGGAAGAUAAUGACGGUACCAUGGGAGGAAGCCCCGGCUAACUACGUGCCAGCAGCCGCGGUAAUACGUAGGGGGCGAGCGUUGUCCGGAAUUACUGGGCGUAAAGGGUUCGCAGGCGGCAUGGCAAGUCCGAUGUAAAAGGCGAAGGCUCAACCUUCGUAAGCAUCGGAAACUGUCAAGCUUGAGUGAAGGAGAGGCAAGUGGAAUUCCUAGUGUAGCGGUGGAAUGCGUAGAUAUUAGGAGGAAUACCGGUGGCGAAGGCGACUUGCUGGACUUCAACUGACGCUGAGGAACGAAAGCGUGGGUAGCAAACAGG
rnacentral:rRNA from 1 species